GUAAAGGCAUAAGGGAGCUUGACUGCGAGACCUACAAGUCGAGCAGGGUCGAAAGACGGACUUAGUGAUCCGGUGGUUCCGCAUGGAAGGGCCAUCGCUCAACGGAUAAAAGCUACCCCGGGGAUAACAGGCUUAUCUCCCCCAAGAGUUCACAUCGACGGGGAGGUUUGGCACCUCGAUGUCGGCUCAUCGCAUCCUGGGGCUGUAGUCGGUCCCAAGGGUUGGGCUGUUCGCCCAUUAAAGCGGUACGCGAGCUGGGUUCAGAACGUCGUGAGACAGUUCGGUCCCUAUCCGUCGUGGGCGUAGGAAAUUUGAGAGGAGCUGUCCUUAGUACGAGAGGACCGGGAUGGACAUACCUCUGGUGUACCAGUUGUCGUGCCAACGGCAUAGCUGGGUAGCUAUGUAUGGACGGGAUAAGUGCUGAAAGCAUCUAAGCAUGAAGCCCCCCUCAAGAUGAGAUUUCCCAACUUCGGUUAUAAGAUCCCUCGAAGAUGACGAGGUUAAUAGGUUCGAGGUGGAAGCGUGGUGACACGUGGAGCUGACGAAUACUAAUCGAUCGAAGACUUAAUCAAUUUUUUAAA
rnacentral:rRNA from 1 species